rnacentral:lncRNA from 1 species
AAGUCGCACUUCCGUAUAUCGAGCCAUUUUUACAAAAAAGUUUAUAUAUCAGUCGCACCUUUGUAUAAGUCGCACCUCUUUGCAUGGUUUACGCUUUUCUUUUUACGCUGAUCGGUACCGCGAGACCGGAAUUUCUCAUUGGUAAUCAGCUGGUUCAUACGUACUGUACCGUUUGACGCCUGAUGAUGUUUAGAUUAGCGAGAAAUGCCUAGAGCACGGCACUCUCUGGCAGGGGCAGUCAGGAUAUUCGGAACUGAAGGACGCAAAAUGAGCUGGCCAGCUUUACUCAAGCGUACGCAUGCUGAGCAAACGAAAGUUUAACGUGCCAGAAACCUGUCAACAGUGGCUAGGCUUAGUGGGCGGCCCACUAAGCCUAGCCAGGGAGACAAUACGAACGUAUUACCUUGAAGUGUUAUUGGAGUGAGGCAAGAUAUGGAACCAUGACUGAAUUAGGCUACGUCAACAAAACUUUUAUUAUCACUGCCACACUGUCCAGUCAAUAAAGCCAUUGAAUUCCUUGCUUUCCGAGUCACUUUGGAAGAGUGCGGCGAUCACUGGAUCUAACGCGAUGGGCUCUUCGUCGUCGUCAGGCCCGCUGCUGUAGUCGCUUUCAGCGGCACCUCUCAGGUACAGAUUCAAUGAGACCGGCUUUUCUGAAACCGGUGGCUAUAGUCCCUAUGGAGACGGAGUUCCAGGCUUCACUGACCCACUCGGCCACCUCGCCCAAUGACGCGUGCCUCAUGCACCCAGUUUUCGUGAAACUUUGGUCACCUGCUUGUCAUCCAGGUUUCCCACAAACGCCGCAGGACAGCUUUGAAGCUGCAGUUCACGGAAAUGUUUAGUGGCUGCAGCAUCUUCGUCAUGCCGCCAGGAAUUAUGACCGGGAUGCAGUUCUUCGCUUUGAUGUUGGUCUUGACCAAAUCGGUCAUGUGCGCCCUCAUGCUGUCCAUAACUAGAAGGCCCUCAUUCGUGUGAAAGAAUCCGUCCGGUCGCCGUGGGGAGCAUUUCUCCAGCCAGAGCCCCAUCAUCUGUCCAUCCAGCCUUUCACGUUGCAUUGGAUGACGACUCCGGGCGGAAAACUGUCUUUAGGCAUAGUCUUUUUCUUAAAAAUAAUCAUGGGCGGCAAUUUGGUGCCAUCAGCGCAGAAGCCAACACGACGGUAAAAUCCGAUUUCUCGCGGCCGAUUGUUCUUACACUGACAGUCUUUUCGCUCUUCUUGGCCACGGUCCUGCCCAUCAGGAUAUCAAAAGUCAGAGGGACUUCGUCCAUGUUGACAAUUUGGUUAGGCCUAACAUCAUGGGUUUGAAUUUGUUCCCUGACGAAUGCCUGGAAACUCGCCGUCUUUUCCUUGAAAUCAUCUGGAGGUUUCUGGCAGACUGUUGUGCGGGCUCUGAUAGCUAGCUGGUGCCGUCUCAUGAAGCGGAAGCACCAAGACGGCCCUCCGACAAAGUCAACCACGUUCAUAUCUUUUGGCAAUGUUUGUGCCUUCAGCCGUAGCAGUGUAUGACCACGUGGAAAAGAAUUUAUCUCAAACACUUAUCUGUGCCAUGGUAUUGUAAUUUAUCCUGAGGGUGCAGCCAAAUUUUGGAUUGCUUUUGCAACAAUAUUGGGGAAAAUAUUUAUUUAUUGAAAGAUUGACAGACGAAGACUAAUAUUUGUCGGGACCCAGAUUAUGUUUCUUCACGUCUUCCCGGUGUUUUGAUAGUUGUUUCAAACAAAAAUGAGAAGGAAGGAAGGCAAGAUAAUCAUUGCGUCGACUUUAUUGCUCUUUUUGUUCAUUCAGUUUUGUUCAGCCCACGAGAAAGUUUUGCCUCGGUUGUAUGGAAAAGGCUGAACUCCAUUUGUGUCCGCAGAGAAACAUCGCCAUUUUUAACUGUAACUUUUGAUUGAGCCAAGCAUUUUUUCCAAAAUUUCACAAAACAAAAUGAUAAAUUACAGUACCCUAGCCGCCCAAAACAAUUUUUAUUAUUCUUGUUCUAUAGAUUUGUUAUAAUUGACCCACAAAGUAUACAUAGCAUCUCACAAAUAGCAGAUGUUAGAUCCGUAUUAAAUGUCUGUACUUGAAUCACUGCUAAGCUGACGGGGCAGUGAAAGCUACGUACUCUGUCUCUAGAUCAGUCAGUUACCUGCCGCUCAGUGCCUGAUGCAUUCUAUGCCCGUACCUACCCGGAGAGUAUGACCACGUUGUAUGCGUGCAACCUUUCAUUCAUUGUUCCUACGAGCAUGUAGCUUCUACCGCCCUGUCAGCCUAGCAGUGAACGUACUACUCAUUUGCUUGAGAGCUUGACCAUUCAUUUUUAAGGUUGGGACUCAAUUUGUUGUGCAGGUGCUUUGGACGUGCAUUUUGAGCAUGCUGUUUGUUGCCCACGAAGCCUUACUAUUGCCUAUAGAAUUUUUGUCAUCUCUUUCACAUUUCGGCACGAGUAUAUCAUGUCCGUAUAUCAUAUUCCUCUCAAGACGACAUCUGAAAGGCAAAGUGGAAGUACCUGAGGGAUAACUAUGCCAAGGAGGUGGCCAAGGUGGCAGGAACAGAGCCCAGUAUCUGUGGAACCUCAGACGUCUACAAGUUAAAGGGGAUCUGCUUUGGCAGCUUGAGCUUCCUGACUGGCACCUCCACUGUUCCGCAAAGUUAUACUUUUCAUAUUUCCCAUUGGUUACCGUAUAUCGCAUCGUCAUGCAGUUUACUUAGUAUGCAGCUACAAGGUUUUUUCUGUCAAUUACGCAAGUCAGAGGCUGCAGGAACGUAAGCAAAGCCAGUCCAGCACUCAAAUUGGAGGUAAGAUAGCAUAGAAUGUAUUUUAACGUCUCCUCAUCAGUAUGUUAGUGUGUUUAUAGUCACGUUUCCAUGUGCCAAUCACAAGUGAUCAUGUGCGAUGAAACUCUUCUAAUGAAUUCUAUGAGUGCCUCCAUCAUGCAGCCAGGCAUCUGGAUAUACCACAGGUGCAACCAAGCCAACUGAUGACCAAGAUCCUCUGCAUAACCUUGAAAAAGGUUAGAGCUGCAUCCCUCACAAGGCAGUCGGAGCAACUGAGUGAGGACCCACCUUCGCCCUUCCAGGACUCAGCUGUUUCCUUGGCUGCACAGCGUGGACUAGAGACAGAGAGUACACAUUCACCAAGCCCAACCCCUGCAGAUAUGAAGGAAGUGACCGAGUUGCCUGCUGCGCCUCAACCUGCUGGUGUUCAGCCAGUAAAGCGAAAGACGUCCAUGGAUAGUGGAAACACACCGAUAGAGCAGGUCCUGAGAGCAGCCGCUGCUAACCCGGGGUUCUCAGACUGCCCUCCAGAGCACACGGACAAGA